GUACUACACACUUCCCCUAUUAUGAUUGCUGUUUACUGGUCAGUAUCCCUUGCUAGACUGUAUGCUCAGUGAUGUCAGAUGCUGCUGCCUUGAAUUAUAUUUAACCAGUAAUUCCCAGUGCUUGCCUCAGUGCUUGGUGCAUAGCACAUGCUUGAUUAAAAUAAUAAUUGAAUUGGAAGGCAGAAGAAAUAAGUUUCAAAUAAUUCUCUAAGUACCUUCAAAUAACUCAAGGUUAAGAAGUGAAAAGUGCCUCUGUUGAGUUGUUCAAGAAUGUAUAACACUGAAGGAAGAAAGAAGAUAUGCUUCAGCUGUAAUUAUAUUCAAUAUUGUUAUGGAAAGUUUUUUCUCCUUAAAUGUAAAUGAUCAAGAAUAAAG
rnacentral:lncRNA from 10 species